GAGUUUGAUCAUGGCUCAGAUUGAACGCUGGCGGCAUGCCUUACACAUGCAAGUCGAACGGUAACAGGUCUUCGGAUGCUGACGAGUGGCGAACGGGUGAGUAAUACAUCGGAACGUGCCCGAUCGUGGGGGGAUAACGAAGCGAAAGCUUUGCUAAUACCGCAUAAGAUCUACGGAUGAAAGCAGGGGACCGCAAGGCCUUGCGCGAACGGGGCGGCCGAUGGCAGAUUAGGUAGUUGGUGGGAUAAAAGCUUACCAAGCCGACGAUCUGUAGCUGGUCUGAGAGGACGACCAGCCACACUGGGACUGAGACACGGCCCAGACUCCUACGGGAGGCAGCAGUGGGGAAUUUUGGACAAUGGGCGAAAGCCUGAUCCAGCCAUGCCGCGUGCAGGAUGAAGGCC
rnacentral:rRNA from 1 species